GAGUUUGAUCCUGGCUCAGGACGAACGCUGGCGGCGUGCCUAACACAUGCAAGUCGAACGAAGCAUAUUUAUAUGCUUAGUGGCGGACGGGUGAGUAACGCGUGAACAAUCUGCCCUAUACAGAGGAAUAGCCUCGGGAAACCGGGAUUAAAACCACAUGACACUUUAGUACCGCAUGGUACAGAGGUCAAAUUGAUUUAGAGGUAUGGGAUGAGUUCGCGUCUGAUUAGCUAGUUGGUAAGGUAAUGGCUUACCAAGGCGACGAUCAGUAGCCGGCCUGAGAGGGUGAACGGCCACACUGGAACUGAGACACGGUCCAGACUCCUACGGGAGGCAGCAGUGGGGAAUAUUGCACAAUGGAGGAAACUCUGAUGCAGCGACGCCGCGUGAGUGAAGAAGGUCUUCGGAUCGUAAAACUCUGUCCUUGGUGAAGAAAAAAUGACGAUAGCCAAGGAGGAAGCCCCGGCUAACUACGUGCCAGCAGCCGCGGUAAUACGUAGGGGGCGAGCGUUGUCCGGAUCUACUGGGCGUAAAGGGUGAGUAGGCGGUUAUAUGUGUCAGAUGUAAAAGGCUAUGGCUUAACCAUAGUUAGCAUUUGAAACUGUAUGACUUGAGUGCAGGAGAGGUAAGUGGAAUUCCUAGUGUAGCGGUGAAAUGCGUAGAUAUUAGGAGGAACACCAGUGGCGAAGGCGACUUACUGGACUGUAACUGACGCUGAGUCACGAAAGCGUGGGUAGCAAACAGGAUUAGAUACCUGCUGGUCCACGCUAUAAACGAUGAGUGCUAGGUGUUGGCCAGCGAUGGUCAGUGCCGCAGUAAACACAUUAAGCACUCCGCCUGGGGAGUACGGUCGCAAGACUGAAACUCAAAGGAAUUGACGGGGACCCGCACAAGCAGCGGAGCAUGUGGUUUAAUUCGAAGCAACGCGAAGAACCCUACAAAGGCUUGACAUCCCCUUGACAAGUGCAGAGAUGUACUCUCUCCUUCGGGAGCAAGGGUGACAGGUGGUGCAUGGUUGUCGUCAGCUCGUGUCGUGAGAUGUUGGGUUAAGUCCCGCAACGAGCGCAACCCUUAUCCUUAGUUGCCAGCAGGUUAAGCUGGGCACUCUAGGGAGACUGCCGAUGAUAAAUCGGAGGAAGGUGGGGAUGACGUCAAAUCAUCAUGCCCCUUAUGUCUUGGGCUACACACGUGCUACAAUGGUCGGUACAACGGGCAGCGAAAGAGUAAUCUGGAGCAAAUCCCAAUAAACCGAUCUCAGUUCGGAUUGUAGGAUGCAACUCGCCUACAUGAAGUCGGAGUUGCUAGUAAUCGCGAAUCAGAACGUCGCGGUGAAUGCGUUCCCGGGAUCUUGUACAGACCGCCCGUC
rnacentral:rRNA from 1 species